rnacentral:rRNA from 1 species
CUCGGGAGGCAGCAGUGGGGAAUAUUGGACAAUGGGCGAAAGCCUGAUCCAGCCAUGCCGCGUGUGUGAAGAAGGCCUUCGGGUUGUAAAGCACUUUCAGUGGGGAAGAAAGCCUUGGGGCUAAUACCCUCGAGGAAGGACAUCACCCACAGAAGAAGCACCGGCUAACUCCGUGCCAGCAGCCGCGGUAAUACGGAGGGUGCGAGCGUUAAUCGGAAUUACUGGGCGUAAAGCGCGCGUAGGCGGUCUGAUAAGCCGGUUGUGAAAGCCCCGGGCUCAACCUGGGAACGGCAUCCGGAACUGUCAGGCUAGAGUGCAGGAGAGGAAGAUAGAAUUCCCGGUGUAGCGGUGAAAUGCGUAGAGAUCGGGAGGAAUACCAGUGGCGAAGGCGGCCUUCUGGACUGACACUGACGCUGAGGUGCGAAAGCGUGGGUAGCAAACAGGAUUAGAUACCCCAGUAGUC